UACGUAGGGCGCAAGCGUUGUCCGGAAUUAUUGGGCGUAAAGAGCUCGUAGGCGGUCUGUCGCGUCUGUUGUGAAAACUCGAGGCUCAACCUCGAGACGCCGGUGGAAACUGCAAAGCUAGAGUCCGGAAGAGGAGAGUGGAAUUCCUGGUGUAGCGGUGAAAUGCGCAGAUAUCAGGAAGAACACCAAUGGCGAAGGCAGCUCUCUGGGACGGUACUGACGCUGAGACGCGAAAGCGUGGGGAGCGAACAGG
rnacentral:rRNA from 1 species